CUUAAGCAUAUCAAUAAGCGGAGGAAAAGAAAAUAACAAUGAUUCCCCUAGUAACUGCGAGUGAAGAGGGACAAGCUCAAAUUUUAAAUCUAUCGGGUUUUACCCGAUCGAGUUGUAAUUUGAAGAGGCGUUUUCUGUGUUUCUGAUCAGUCCAAGUCCUUUGGGAUAAGGCAUCAUGGAGGGUGAGAAUCCCGUCCGGUUGAUCAGAUUCGCUUUACGAUACGCUUUCUAAGAGUCAAGUUGUUUGGGAUUGCAGCUUAAAAUGGGAGGUAAAUUUCUCCUAAGGCUAAAUAACGGCGAGAGACCGAUAGCGAACAAGUACCGUGAGGGAAAGAUGAAAAGAACUUUGAAAAGAGAGUUAAACAGUACGUGAAAUUGUUGAAAGGGAAACGAUUGAAGCCAGUCGUACCUAUGGGUAAUCAGCCUUUUGGGUGUGAUUUUGUGGAGCGUGAGGAGUUAAACGCCUUCAUGCCUGCAUAUUCGUGCACUUUGGGUGUACUUGCCCGUAUGGUUGGUUAACAUCAAUUUUGGUGGUCAUAAAAUGACCUGGAGGAAUGUAGCUUCGAUCUCGUAUUGAAGUGUUAUAGCCUUCGGUAGAUGUGAUGAUCGAGAUUGAGGAUUGCAACGGAUACCCUUCGGGGCUACCUGUCUGAUCUCUGAUCGUUGCUCUGGUGCCGAAAGCUUGCUUACGGUUAUCAAAGUCGAUGGUCAAUAGGUUAGAACGGGUUAAAUUCGUUAAGGAUGUUGACGUAAUGGCUUUAAACGACCCGUCUUGAAACACGGACCAAGGAGUCUAACAUAUAUGCGAGUGUUAGGGUGAUUAAACCCUUACGCGUAAUGAAAGUAAUUUUGGUGGGAACAUUUUUGUGCACCAUCGACCGAUCAGGAUAUUUUUUGAUAGAUUUGAGUAAGAGCAUAUCUGCUAGGACCCGAAAGAUGGUGAACUAUGCCUGAAUAGGGUGAAGUCAGAGGAAACUCUGAUGGAGGCUCGUAGCGGUUCUGACGUGCAAAUCGAUCGUCAAAUUUGGGUAUAGGGGCGAAAGACUAAUCGAACCAUCUAGUAGCUGGUUCCUGCCGAAGUUUCCCUCAGGAUAGCAGAAACUCGUUAACAGUUUUAUGAGGUAAAGCGAAUGAUUAGAGGCCUUAGGGUUGAAACAGCCUUAACCUAUUCUCAAACUUUAAAUAUGUAAGAAGUUUAUCGUUACUUAAUUGAACGUGAACAUUCGAAUGAGAGUUUCUAGUGGGCCAUUUUU
rnacentral:rRNA from 1 species